rnacentral:misc_RNA from 1 species
UUUCCGUGGGUGAACCUGCGGAAGGAUCAUUAUUGUAUAACCGAGGUGCGAGGGCUGUCGCUGACCCGAAAGGUCGUGCACGCCCGAGUGCCCUCACACACAUCCAUCUCACCCCUAUGUGCACCACCGCGUGGGUCCCCCUUUGGCUUGUUCGGAGGGGGGCUUACGUUUUCACACAAACUUUGUAUGUAGUGUAGAAUGUAUUUUUUGUUUUUGCGAUCACGCAAUCAAUACAACUUUCAACAACGGAUCUCUUGGCUCUC